UACGUAGGGGGCGAGCGUUAUCCGGAUUCAUUGGGCGUAAAGCGCGCGUAGGCGGCGCGUCAAGCGGGACCUCUAACCCCGGGGCUCAACCCCGGGCCGGGUCCCGGACUGGCGCGCUCGAGUGCGGUAGAGGCGAGUGGAAUUCCCGGUGUAGCGGUGGAAUGCGCAGAUAUCACGCAGAACCCCGAUUGCGAAGGCAGCAUACCGGCGCCCUACUGACGCUGAGGCACGAAAGUGCGGGUAUCGAACAGG
rnacentral:rRNA from 1 species